GACCGUUCCGGUGGCCUAGUGGUUAGAGCGUCCGCCUCAGAUGCGGUAGGUCGUGGGUUCGAUCCCCGGCUGAGUCA